AACUACAGUACAUUAAGGAACCAUGAAUGCCAACAUGUACUGUAACAUACUGAAGCAGAGCAUGAUUCCCUCCAUUCGGAAACUGGGCCACUGGUCAGUAUUCCAACACGAUAACAACCCCAAACACACCUCCAAGACGAUCACUGC